GUUCAGGAAAUUUGGUGUUCCGACUUGUCGUUCCGGGCUGGACAGGACGGAGGGGACUUCAACGGAUCUCACUUUAGGGAAGUACCGCGUUUGCACGGAGAACAGGGAUCUUCCCUGAGGGAUCUGGUUGCAGAAAGAGAAGCCCUGAGCUCUUCAGGAGUCCAUCCUCCAAAAAAGCGGCCGGGAGGGCUGCGCAGGUGCAGGAUCUUUUUGGCUACUGGUGUGAAGAACAGACUGAAGAAAGGCAAAGGUAGAGGCAGGGAGCCCAAUUAGGAGACAGUAGUCCAGAUAACACCUACUAAGAAGAUAGAAGACUUACUUUCAUCAUCUGAAUCAAAUCCAAAGAGUGUCUGACAUUUCUUUUGUGCAAGGUAUUCUUUUAAAUAUUUUAAGAAUUUAGGUCCGAGAUGGCGACGUAGGCAGACCCUGAACUCACCUCCUCCAGGGACACAACAAAUCUGCACCUACACAGAGAGCAAUUCCUCCUGAAGAACUGAGGACUGACUGAACAGCUGAACAACAAAAGUAAGAGCGACCACAUAGAGAAUGGCAAGAAAGACGGAGACACGGUAAUAGGGAAUCCCCACUCUCACCCCUGUAAACUGCAGUGGGGAGGGACAGUAAUAAGGGACUAUGAGCAGAUUCAUCUGCUCUGAGGUACAGAAAAAAAUGUUGCAGUUUAAAAGGGCAACUAGAAUAUAAAGGAUCUAGCCCUAGAACUCUGCCAAAUGGCAGGGAGACUGCUGGAACUUUCUCUAGGUCAGGGGGGCUGUCAAGCACCACAGUUUACACAUUCCCCAUCCACCUUGACAGCAUGGACAGGAGCAUGGUCCAGACACCCUACCACCUCAACGAGCCCUGGUCCUCUACCCAUACCAGCCCCAACUGUCUCACUAAGGAGGCCCAAUACAGUGCAUACCGGGUCACCCUUGUCAGUGUUCACUGUAGCUCAAGACUACUUGACAAGGUAACACAGGCACAAAGUACCCUGGAACGCUCCAGACCCACACCACUUAAGCUCCAGACAACUUGCCAGGACACUGUGGUCCACACCUGCUUCUGCUCCAGCUGCCCGAAAAGGGCACCCCACACAGAAUGCCCCAGGAUGCCUCAGCCUGCACCCACUUUAGCUUCUGCUAUCACCCACAACACAAGAGAGCCCUGAGACCACCUCGUACCCACUUCAGCUUCAGCUGUCCUGCCAGUGUGCCCUCUGUGCAGAAAACCCCAGGAGCAGCCCAGCCUACACCUACUUCAGCUCUGGUCGUCCCACCAGCAUGGCCCCAGCACAAGGAGUCCCAGGACAUCCAGCCUAUGACAGCUACAGCUCUAGCCAGCUAGCCAAAGUCGUCAGGCACACACAAUCCACACAGGGGAUAACCAUACACAGGAUCAUUCCUUCAAGUUUAGGAGAAGUAGCUGUUCCACCUAAUUCACAGAAAUAAACAGAAAAGUCAAGCAAAUGGGGACAGAGGAAUAUGCUCCAAAUGAAAGAACAAGACAGAGCCUCAGAAAAAGAACUAAACAGAACAGGGACAAGGGAUCUACCUGAUAAAGAGUUCAAAGUAACGGUCAUAAACUCAGGACUUCAACAAAGAAAGAGAUAGAUAGAUAGAUAGAUAGAUAGAUAGAUAGAUAGAUAAAUAAAUAAAUAAAUAAAAUUUUUAAAAAAUGAGUAUGGCUUAAGGGCUAUCUUGGAUAACACCGAGUAAACAAACAUUUACAUUACAGGGGUCCCAAAAGAAUGAAGAAAUAAUACCUUAAAACUUUCCCAACCUGGGGAAGGAAAGAGACAUCCAGGCUCAGGAGCACAGAGAAUUUGGAUCAAGAUGAACCCAAGGAGAUCCAUACCACUACACAUAAUAAAAUGUCAAAGAGGAAAGAUUUUAAAAAGUAUAGUUCCUUACCCAGCACUAUGAAAUUAAAAGCUCUGAGAAUAGGCAUGAAAACCUGCAUUAAAUAACAAGCUUUCUGUGUGAUCUUAUGCUUACUAAAGUUUUUAAAGAGUUACUUGAUAUCAGAAUGACAGAUUUUAAAUUCCUUAAGAUUGCCUAAUGCAUGUACCAGUUUAUAAUUAUGUGUGUAUAUGGUGGGGUUAGGGGGUGAUGCAUGGGACAGAAGAGUGCUAAAGUUUGACAGACCUGAUAGUCUGGGAACUGGUUAUGAAAAUGACAGUUUUCUGGAGAGUGGAGAGUGUGGCAAUCGGGACAACAGAGAGAAAGUAUACGAAUAAACACUGAUGACUGAAAUGUCUUACGUUUAUGGUGCCUGAUAGCUGUGGUCCAUGCUGUAAAUAGCUCUGUGAAAUCCUGUUAUGGUGAUAGUUUUCAAAAACUAUUAUGAGAAAUAAACUAGAUAGACGGAAACAUAUCAUGUAAAACAUGUAUUUAAAUUUGACCGAUUCCAGGGAGUGUGGGUGUGACUCAGUUAAGCAUCCGACUCUUGUUUUGGGCUCAGGUCAUGAUCCUGCAGUUCUUGAG